UGGGGAAUUUUGGACAAUGGGGGCAACCCUGAUCCAGCCAUGCCGCGUGAGUGAAGAAGGCCUUCGGGUUGUAAAGCUCUUUCGGCGGGGACGAGACGGUCCGUGACAACACCACGGACUAAUGACAGUACUCGCAGAAGAAGCACCGGCUAACUACGUGCCAGCAGCCGCGGUAAUACGUAGGGUGCAGGCGUUAAUCGGAAUUACUGGGCGUAAAGCGUGCGCAGGCGGCUCCUUAAGUCAGAUGUGAAAUCCCCGGGCUUAACCUGGGAACUGCGUUUGAAACUGAGGGGCUAGAGUGUGGAAGAGGGGGUGGAAUUCCAGGUGUAGCAGUGAAAUGCGUAGAGAUCUGGAGGAACACCGAUGGCGAAGGCAGCCCCCUGGGCUAACACUGACGCUCAUGCACGAAAGCGUGGGGAGCAAACAGGAUUAGAUACCCCCGUAGUCCCUGAGCGGGCUGGCAAGGCGCAU
rnacentral:rRNA from 1 species